AUUGAACGCUGGCGGCAUGCCUUACACAUGCAAGUCGAACGGCAGCACGGGUGCUUGCACCUGGUGGCGAGUGGCGAACGGGUGAGUAAUGUAUCGGAACGUACCUUUCAGUGGGGGAUAACUAUCCGAAAGGAUAGCUAAUACCGCAUAUUCUGUGAGCAGGAAAGCAGGGGAUCGCAAGACCUUGCGCUGAUUGAGCGGCCGAUAUCAGAUUAGCUAGUUGGUGGGGUAAAGGCCUACCAAGGCUACGAUCUGUAGCGGGUCUGAGAGGAUGAUCCGCCACACUGGAACUGAGACACGGUCCAGACUCCUACGGGAGGCAGCAGUGGGGAAUUUUGGACAAUGGGGGCAACCCUGAUCCAGCCAUGCCGCGUGAGUGAAGAAGGCCUUCGGGUUGUAAAGCUCUUUCGGACGGGGAGAAAUCGCAUCGGCUAAUACCUGGUGCGGAUGACGGUACCGUAAUAAGAAGCACCGGCUAACUACGUGCCAGCCGCCGCAGUAA
rnacentral:rRNA from 1 species